ACACCCAGCACCUUAGGGUAUGUUUUCUCGAAUUUCCAAACGCAAAACAUUGCCUUAUUUUAAAAUUUUUAAAAGGGUAUUAAGCCAUUUGGUUGAACGAGAAAAAUCGACACCCAGCACCUUAGGGCAUGUUUUCUCGAAUUUCCAAACGCAAAACAUUGCCUUAUUUGAAAAAAAAUUCGUUUUUGAAGUAUGGUGUUAAUAUGCAUAAUGGAAUAAUAAAUAUGAUAAUGUGAACAAAAGUAAUAUGAGCAAAACGAAUAAUAAAAAAAUAAAUCAAUCAUAUAUAUAUCACAACAAAUAAAUAAAUAAAAAAUAAACUAAAACAUAAUGUAAUACCAAUUAUUUGCCUGGCCCUACCGAUAAUAAAAUACAAUAGCAGGCCCAAUAAAAUUAAAACCCAAUACCCAAUUGACCCCAGCCCAAGACCCAAUCAUUAACCCAAAACCCAGCCCAAAAAAAAAACAACAUCAGCAGAAACCCUAAAGCAGCAUUUGCCAGUAGCCGCCGCAGCUCCCCCGCCUUCAGCGCCUCCAGCAGCAUCCGGACGCCGCAAGUUUCGGCAUCCACGCAUGCCAAACUCUCCACGCACCUACAAACACGGACUCAGAGAGUCCAUUAGCGAAAAUAUAGUAAAACAAAUAAGUUUUUAGGCUAUAUAAAGCCAUAUAUUUUGUAACAAAAGGGGGGGAUUUUCAGUGAGAAAAGAUACAAGAAAUAGCAAAGAAAUACAGAGAAAAUUUAUUUUUCGAAGGUUUUUACUUUGUUCAUCGUUUCUUUUUGUAUAUAUGUAUAUUAUUUUUCCUUUUAUUUUCGUUUUAUUUUACCUAAAAUAACAAAAAAAAAGAAAGGAAAAGACUUAUCUUUAGCCGGAACCGUUGAAUCGUCCCCCUCCGUCGCAAUCGGAGGUCGGGGCGUCGUCGGAGGCCGUGGUGUGGCUCGCACGGCGGCGGCGGCAUGGAAGAAACCCUAGCAGAGGGUUUCUCUGCUAUCUCUUAAAAAAAGGGGUAGAAAAACUGAAUUUUGGUGGAAAUUUUGGUGUUUUAUAAGUAAGUAAAACGAC
rnacentral:lncRNA from 1 species